UACGUAGGGUGCAAGCGUUGCUCGGAAUUAUUGGGCGUAAAGGGUAGGUAGGUGGUCUCAUUUGUCUGAGGUGAAAUCCUUGAGCUUAACUCAAGAAGGGCCUCAGAAACGGUGAGACUGGAGUACUGGAGAGGGUCGUGGAAUUCCCGGUGUAGCGGUGAAAUGCGUAGAGAUCGGGAGGAACACCAGAGGCGAAAGCGGCGACCUGGACAGUUACUGACACUCAAAUACGAAAGCGUGGGGAGCAAACAGG
rnacentral:rRNA from 1 species